UGCAGUCGAGGGGCAGCAUGACAUAGCAUAUGUUGAUGGCGACCGGCAGACGGGUGAGUAAUGCAUAAGAAUCUGCCUUUUGGAGUGGGAUAGCUCGGAGAAAUUCGGAUUAAUACCGCAUGAAGUCUAAGGAUGAAAGGGGGCUGUUAAAGGCUCUCGCCAAGAGAUGAGCUUAUGUGAGAUUAGCUAGUUGGUGGGGUAAAGGCUCACCAAGGCAAUGAUCUCUAGCCGAUUUUAGAGAAUGAUCGGCCACACUGGGACUGAGAUACGGCCCAGACUCCUACGGGAGGCAGCAGUGGGGAAUAUUGGACAAUGGGGGCAACCCUGAUCCAGCCAUGCCGCGUGUGUGAAGAAGGCCUUCGGGUUGUAAAGCACUUUUGACAGGGAAGAAGAGAUGGUGGUUAAUACCCAUUAUUUUUGACAUUAUCUGUAGAAAAAGCACCGGCUAACUCCGUGCCAGCAGCCGCGGUAAUACGGAGGGUGCGAGCGUUAAUCGGAAUUACUGGGCGUAAAGGGCGUGUAGGCGGAUGAGUAAGUUGGGUGUGAAAUCCCCGGGCUUAACCUGGGAACUGCAUUCAAAACUGCUAAUCUAGAGUGUAGUAGAGGACGAUGGAAUUUUCUGUGUAGCAGUAAAAUGCUUAGAUAUUGAAAGGAACAUCAGAGGCGAAGGCGAUCGUCUGGACUACAACUGACGCUGAGGCGCGAAAGCGUGGGGAGCAAACAGGAUUAGAUACCCUGGUAGUCCACGCUGUAAAUGGUGGAGACUGGCUGUUGGGCGCAAGCUCAGUGGCGAAGCUAACGCGUUAAGUCUCCCGCCUGGGGAGUACGGCCGNAAGGUUAAAACUCAAAUGAAUUGACGGGGGCCCGCACAAGCGGUGGAGUAUGUGGUUUAAUUCGAUGCAACCCGAAAAACCUUACCCACUUUUGACAUAUAAGGAGCCUGGCAGAGAUGUCGGGGUGCCGCAAGGAACCUUAAUACAGGUGCUGCAUGGCUGUCGUCAGCUCGUGUUGUGAAAUGUUGGGUUAAGUCCCGUAACGAGCGCAACCCCUGUCCUUUGUUGCUAACAGGUUAAGCUGAGAACUCUAAGGAGACUGCUGGUGAUAAACCAGAGGAAGGUGGGGAUGACGUCAAGUCCUCAUGGCCCUUACAAGUGGGGCUACACACGUACUACAAUGGUUGGUAUAGAGGGAAGCGAAGCCGCGAGGUGAAGCCAAUCUCACAAAGCCAAUCUUAGUCCGGAUUGUACUCUGAAACUCGAGUGCAUGAAGUCGGAAUCGCUAGUAAUCGCAGAUCAGCAAGCUGCGGUGAAUACGUUCUCGGGCCUUGUACACACCGCCCGUCAAACCAUGGGAGUGACUUUUUCCUGAACUGAAUAGCCUAACCGCAAGGAGGGCGU
rnacentral:rRNA from 1 species